AUUGAACGCUGGCGGCAGGCCUAACACAUGCAAGUCGAGCGAGCGGCGGACGGGUGAGUAAUGUCUGGGAAACCGCCUGAUGGAGGGGGAUAACUACUGGAAACGGUAGCUAAUACCGCAUACCAUCAGAUGUGCCCAGAUGGGAUGGGCUAGUGGGUGGGGUAACGGCUCACCUAGGCGACGAUCCCUAGCUGGUCUGAGAGGUUGACCGGCCACACUGGAACUGAGACACGGUCCAGACUCCUACGGGAGGCAGCAGUAGGGAAUAUUGCACAAUGGGCGAAAGCCUGAUGCAGCCACGCCGCGUGUGUGAAGAAGGCUUUCGGGUUGUAAAGCACUGUCAGUGGAGAAGCGUUACCCAAAGAAGAAGCAACGGCUAACUCCGUGCCAGCAGCCGCGGUAAUUC
rnacentral:rRNA from 1 species